AGACAGUGACCACAAGUCUUUGGAGUGACCGAAAACAUUGCUUGGACCCCUUGAAGAUCUGUGAUGAUAAAGAUCAUUCUUUUUACCUGUGUUAUUUAACAGGCUGAGGAACCCUUGAUUUGGGAACACAAGGAAUCUCCUCAGGAAACAAAAGUAUCCCAGAUGCUAGCACACCUGGUAACACAUCCAUAGAGCUAGCCUCUCACA